GAGAGGCAGCGACCGGGGAGUCCGCGCUGCUGCUGCCGCUGCGGGGCUCUGGCGGUACCCGGGUCCCCUCCUUCGCCGCAGCGUUUGCGCGCGGGGUCCGGGAGCUGGCUGUCUGGAGCCUCCAGGGUCUGGGCGAGCGGUUCCGAGACAGGCUUCACUCAGUGGGGCGUUGGCGACUCCCAUUCAGAAUUGCCCCUCUUCCUGGCAAACUCCCGGCGGGUGGUCGGGCCUGUGGGGGAGGGGCAGCUCUUUUAACGUGGUUUUGUUUUUAAAUAAACAGACACACACACACACACACACACACACACACCCCACACACACAC
rnacentral:lncRNA from 1 species